GAUGAACGCUGGCGGCGUGCCUAAUACAUGCAAGUCGAGCGAACAGACGAGGAGCUUGCUCCUCUGACGUUAGCGGCGGACGGGUGAGUAACACGUGGAUAACCUACCUAUAAGACUGGGAUAACUUCGUGAAACCGGAGCUAAUACCGGAUAAUAUAUUGAACCGCAUGGUUCAAUAGUUAAAGACGGUUUUGCUGUCACUUAUAGAUGGAUCCGCGCCGCAUUAGCUAGUUGGUAAGGUAACGGCUUACCAAGGCAACGAUGCGUAGCCGACCUGAGAGGGUGAUCGGCCACACUGGAACUGAGACACGGUCCAGACUCCUACGGGAGGCAGCAGUAGGGAAUCUUCCGCAAUGGGCGAAAGCCUGACGGAGCAAUGCCGCGUGAGUGAUGAAGGUCUUCGGAUUGUAAAACUCUGUUAUUAGGGAAGAACAAAUGUGUAAGUACCUAUGCACGUCUUGACGGUACCUAAUCAGAAAGCCACGGCUAACUACGUG
rnacentral:rRNA from 1 species